GCAACAAUUGCUAUACAUUAUUGAUGACUAGUAAUAAUCACGUGAUUAACACGUAUAGCAAUUGUAUUGUUGAUUGAAUUUCCUUUUCCUGUCGUUCAUAGCAUUCAAGCAUUCAUUCAGUCAUUCAUUGAUUGAAUGAAUGGUGUGUUUGUCUACACAUUGAUUGCAAUUGUCGUCUAAUUUAAUACCUAUUUGUUGGACAUGAGAGCGAAGUGGCGGAAGAAGAGAAUGAGGAGAUUGAAGAGGAAGAGGAGGAAAAUGAGGGAAAGGUCUAAAUAGAUGGACGAAGAUUGACACCAACGGAUGAUACGGCAAAUUAAUCCGAUGGUGAGCACAAUAUUAUUGGCUUUUCAUGGCUUAAGGGAACCAUUGGUUCCGAUUAUGACAACACUCCUAACGAGUGAUUCGAUGCAAACCAUGGAUGUCAUCAUUAAUAUUGUCUUGAAUUUAAUAAUAAAAUACUUUGUAAUUAAUAUUAAUUGCAAUAAAAAAGUGUUUCUUAAAAUA